rnacentral:rRNA from 1 species
CCCUUGACUUCUGACCGACUGCAGUCGAGCGGAUGAAAAGAGCUUGCUCUUCUAUUCAGCGGCGGACGGGUGAGUAAUGCCUAGGAAUCUGCCUGGUAGUGGGGGACAACGUUUCGAAAGGAACGCUAAUACCGCAUACGUCCUACGGGAGAAAGCAGGGGACCUUCGGGCCUUGCGCUAUCAGAUGAGCCUAGGUCGGAUUAGCUAGUUGGUGAGGUAAUGGCUCACCAAGGCGACGAUCCGUAACUGGUCUGAGAGGAUGAUCAGUCACACUGGAACUGAGACACGGUCCAGACUCCUACGGGAGGCAGCAGUGGGGAAUAUUGGACAAUGGGCGAAAGCCUGAUCCAGCCAUGCCGCGUGUGUGAAGAAGGUCUUCGGAUUGUAAAGCACUUUAAGUUGGGAGGAAGGGCAGUAAGAUAAUACCUUGCUGUUUUGACGUUACCGACAGAAUAAGCACCGGCUAACUCUGUGCCAGCAGCCGCGGUAAUACAGAGGGUGCAAGCGUUAAUCGGAAUUACUGGGCGUAAAGCGCGCGUAGGUGGUUUGUUAAGUUGGAUGUGAAAGCCCCGGGCUCAACCUGGGAACUGCAUCCAAAACUGGCAAGCUAGAGUACGGUAGAGGGUGGUGGAAUUUCCUGUGUAGCGGUGAAAUGCGUAGAUAUAGGAAGGAACACCAGUGGCGAAGGCGACCACCUGGACUGAUACUGACACUGAGGUGCGAAAGCGUGGGGAGCAAACAGGAUUAGAUAUCCUGGUAGUCCACGCCGUAAACGAUGUCAACUAGCCGUUGGAAUCCUUGAGAUUUUAGUGGCGCAGCUAACGCAUUAAGUUGACCGCCUGGGGAGUACGGCCGCAAGGUUAAAACUCAAAUGAAUUGACGGGGGCUCGCACAAGCGGUGGAGCAUGUGGUUUAAUUCGAAGCAACGCGAAGACCUUACCAGGCCUUGACAUGCAGAGACCUUUCCAGAGAUGGAUUGGUUGCUUUCGGGAACUCUGAACCAGGUGCUGCAUGGCUGUCGUCAGCUCGUUGUCGUGAGAUGUUGGGUUAGUCCCGUACGAGCGCAACCCUUGUCUUAGUAUCAGCACGUUAUGGUGGGUCACUUCUUACGGAGACUGCGGUUGACAACCGGAGGAAGGUGGGAUGACGUCAGUCAUCCAUGGGUCAUACCGCUGGCUUACCUACGUGUCUAACAUGUCGGUACAGGUUGGACUAGUCGCGCAGUGUGGAGUCUAAUUCUCUCACAAUAACCGAUCGUAGUCCGGAUCGCAGUCUGCAACUCGACUGCGUGAAGUCGGAAUCGCUAGUAAUCGCGAAUCAGAAUGUCGCGGUGAAUACGUUCCCGGGCCUUGUACACACCGCCCGUCACACCAUGGGAGUGGGUUGCACCAGAAGUAGCUAGUCUAACCUUCGGGAGGAUCGGUUACCACGGUGUGAUUCAUGACUGGGGUACAGUCGAGCAGAGUACGACCAAUCU